rnacentral:rRNA from 1 species
GGCGCAUGCGCGGGCUAUACUGCAGUCGACGAACUCUGGUAUUGAUUGGUGCUUGCAUCAUGAUUUACAUUUGAGUGAGUGGCGAACUGGUGAGUAACACGUGGGAAACCUGCCCAGAAGCGGGGGAUAACACCUGGAAACAGAUGCUAAUACCGCAUAACAACUUGGACCGCAUGGUCCGAGCUUGAAAGAUGGCUUCGGCUAUCACUUUUGGAUGGUCCCGCGGCGUAUUAGCUAGAUGGUGGGGUAACGGCUCACCAUGGCAAUGAUACGUAGCCGACCUGAGAGGGUAAUCGGCCACAUUGGGACUGAGACACGGCCCAAACUCCUACGGGAGGCAGCAGUAGGGAAUCUUCCACAAUGGACGAAAGUCUGAUGGAGCAACGCCGCGUGAGUGAAGAAGGGUUUCGGCUCGUAAAACUCUGUUGUUAAAGAAGAACAUAUCUGAGAGUAACUGUUCAGGUAUUGACGGUAUUUAACCAGAAAGCCACGGCUAACUACGUGCCAGCAGCCGCGGUAAUACGUAGGUGGCAAGCGUUGUCCGGAUUUAUUGGGCGUAAAGCGAGCGCAGGCGGUUUUUUAAGUCUGAUGUGAAAGCCUUCGGCUCAACCGAAGAAGUGCAUCGGAAACUGGGAAACUUGAGUGCAGAAGAGGACAGUGGAACUCCAUGUGUAGCGGUGAAAUGCGUAGAUAUAUGGAAGAACACCAGUGGCGAAGGCGGCUGUCUGGUCUGUAACUGACGCUGAGGCUCGAAAGUAUGGGUAGCAAACAGGAUUAGAUACCCUGGUAGUCCAUACCGUAAACGAUGAAUGCUAAGUGUUGGAGGGUUUCCGCCCUUCAGUGCUGCAGCUAACGCAUUAAGCAUUCCGCCUGGGGAGUACGGCCGCAAGGCUGAAACUCAAAGGAAUUGACGGGGGCCCGCACAAGCGGUGGAGCAUGUGGUUUAAUUCGAAGCUACGCGAAGAACCUUACCAGGUCUUGACAUACUAUGCAAAUCUAAGAGAUUAGACGUUCCCUUCGGGGACAUGGAUACAGGUGGUGCAUGGUUGUCGUCAGCUCGUGUCGUGAGAUGUUGGGUUAAGUCCCGCAACGAGCGCAACCCUUAUUAUCAGUUGCCAGCAUUAAGUUGGGCACUCUGGUGAGACUGCCGGUGACAAACCGGAGGAAGGUGGGGAUGACGUCAAAUCAUCAUGCCCCUUAUGACCUGGGCUACACACGUGCUACAAUGGAUGGUACAACGAGUUGCGAACUCGCGAGAGUAAGCUAAUCUCUUAAAGCCAUUCUCAGUUCGGAUUGUAGGCUGCAACUCGCCUACAUGAAGUCGGAAUCGCUAGUAAUCGCGGAUCAGCAUGCCGCGGUGAAUACGUUCCCGGGCCUUGUACACACCGCCCGUCACACCAUGAGAGUUUGUAACACCCAAAGUCGGUGGGGUAACCUUUUAGGAACCAGCCGCCUAAGGUCACAGAU